rnacentral:rRNA from 1 species
AUUGAACGCUGGCGGCAGGCCUAACACAUGCAAGUCGAGCGGAUGAGUGGAGCUUGCUCCAUGAUUCAGCGGCGGACGGGUGAGUAAUGCCUAGGAAUCUGCCUGGUAGUGGGGGACAACGUUUCGAAAGGAACGCUAAUACCGCAUACGUGCUACGGGAGAAAGUGGGGGAUCUUCGGACCUCACGCUAUCAUAUGGUCCUAGGUCGGAUUAGCUAGGUGGUGAGUUAAAGGCUCACCAAGGCGACGAUCCGUAACGGGUCUGAGAGGAUGAUCAGUCACACUGGAACUGAGACACGGUCCAGACUCCUACGGGAGGCAGCAGUGGGGAAUAUUGGACAAUGGGCGAAAGCCUGAUCCAGCCAUGCCGCGUGUGUGAAGAAGGUCUUCGGAUUGUAAAGCACUUUAAGUUGGGAGGAAGGGCAGUAAGUUAAUACCUUGCUGUUUUGACGUUACCAACAGAAUAAGCACCGGCUAACUUCGUGCCAGCCGCCGCUGUAACAC